AUGGAUAGGAGGGCCUCGAUCCCACAAAAACUUAG
rnacentral:tRNA from 1 species